CUGGUAGUCCACGCCGUAAACGAUGUCGAUUUGGAGGUUGUGCCCUUGAGGCGUGGCUUCCGGAGCUAACGCGUUAAAUCGACCGCCUGGGGAGUACGGCCGCAAGGUUAAAACUCAAAUGAAUUGACGGGGGCCCGCACAAGCGGUGGAGCAUGUGGUUUAAUUCGAUGCAACGCGAAGAACCUUACCUGGUCUUGACAUCCACAGAACUUUCCAGAGAUGGAUUGGUGCCUUCGGGAACUGUGAGACAGGUGCUGCAUGGCUGUCGUCAGCUCGUGUUGUGAAAUGUUGGGUUAAGUCCCGCAACGAGCGCAACCCUUAUCCUUUGUUGCCAGCGGUCCGGCCGGGAACUCAAAGGAGACUGCCAGUGAUAAACUGGAGGAAGGUGGGGAUGACGUCAAGUCAUCAUGGCCCUUACGACCAGGGCUACACACGUGCUACAAUGGCAUAUACAAAGAGAAGCGACCUCGCGAGAGCAAGCGGACCUCAUAAAGUAUGUCGUAGUCCGGAUUGGAGUCUGCAACUCGACUCCAUGAAGUCGGAAUCGCUAGUAAUCGUAGAUCAGAAUGCUACGGUGAAUACGUUCCCGGGCCUUGUACACACCGCCCGUCACACCAUGGGAGUGGGUUGCAAAAGAAGUAGGUAGCUUAACCUUCGGGAGGGCGCUUACCACUUUGUGAUUCAUGACUGGGGUGAAGUCGUAACAAGGUAACCGUAGGGGAACCUGCGGUUGGAUCACCUCCUUACCUUAAAGAA
rnacentral:rRNA from 1 species